GUGGGCCUGGCUCAGCGGGUGAGAGCACUGACUGCUCUUCCAAAGGUCCUGAGUUCAAAUCUCAGCAACCACA
rfam:Mus musculus chromosome 5, GRC primary reference assembly.